CAUUUUCAUGGCUGAAGUACUUAUGACGACAAACUUUCACCAUUCUCUCAGCAAUAUGCACUGAGCCCAUCCUGUGUGUCAGGUCUCCAAGGCUUCAGCCCCGCAUAGAGCUGCUCCUUGCCUUCGUGAGCUGCGUCCUCUGUGCUGCUUGGGAGGAUGAUUGAUCCAGUGCUGCACCGAUGCUGAGUCUCUUCACUUCUGCUUCUCUAGAUCCCCGUGAAAAAUGAUUCUCUAAAAGCCAGAUGUGCUGGGUCACUUGCACGGGUACCAAGAGAUGGAGAAAAGAAACCCAAGUCCAACUUCUCAUGUCCGCGUGUGAGCUGGGGCCCUUGGAAUUAAAUCCAUUUGUCUUCCCAUGCCAUGAGCUGCAUGCCAUGCGCCUGGCACAUUUGCUGGUGGAUUUAGAGCUUCAUUGCAGGCAUGAGGUAAAGAAGUCCAGUGUUAUGAUGUGCACCUGAGAGAAGAGGAAACGAGGUCCCGCUGACAAGUGCCGAGACUCACCCAGCUUUCUUAGCAGGCUCCUACAGCUCCUGUCUGGCCCCCAGCCCAAGCUCUCUCCACUGCCCCCAGCUUUUCCAGAGUGAAAAAGGUUACACUGGACUCCACGUUAGAGGAGGGAUCGAACUCGGGACCUUGAGCUUGCAAGGCAGGCGGUGGUACCACUGAGCUAAAUCCCCGGGCCGGCCCAGAUUUGUGCCUUAUUUAAGCAGUCCUUUCCUGCCUGGAGGUCAUACAGAGGUCCAGAUCCCUAUGUGAAUAAACAUGUGGCCCGGCCCUGUCUCGUCUUUGAAGAUUUCUCUGCAAAGCUGCCCACCUGGUGCCUGUUCCCUUAAAUUGUGGAUGGAGCUCCGGAUGCUCCGGUCUGUCCUCAGCCCUGUUUCUCUAUCCUGUGUCAGUGCCUGGGUCACCUAUGCAGAGCGUCCGUGCCCUGUGGCACGUGGCUCUCCUUGGACCAUACUUGUUCUGUGUAAAUGUUAAAAUGACCUUGUCUAGAC
rnacentral:lncRNA from 1 species